UACGUAGGGUGCAGGCGUUAAUCGGAAUUACUGGGCGUAAAGCGUGCGCAGGCGGUCUUUUAAGUCAGAUGUGAAAUCCCCGGGCUUAACCUGGGAACUGCGUUUGAAACUGAAAGGCUAGAGUGUGGCAGAGGGGGGUGGAAUUCCACGUGUAGCAGUGAAAUGCGUAGAGAUGUGGAGGAACACCGAUGGCGAAGGCAGCCCCCUGGGCUAACACUGACGCUCAUGCACGAAAGCGUGGGGAGCAAACAGG
rnacentral:rRNA from 1 species